rnacentral:lncRNA from 1 species
UCCAUUUGGCAUGAUGAGUUGUACAAUGUAAAGCAAUUAUCUGAUGCUUCUCCAAAUGGGGAUGAGGGGGUUCUUUACAUUCGACUUGCUGCAAAAGAGUUGCAAAAUUCACAAAGGAAGAUGAGUGGAAAAAUAAUUGGUGUUGCCAUUGGUGCGAGCAUUGGCGUUUUGUUUUUGAUGAUCCUUCUACUGAUAGUUUGGAAGAGUAAAGGGAAAUGGUUUGCUUGCACACAGGAAAAGCCUGAGGAUGGUAUUGGGAUCACUGCAUUUCGAUAUACUGAUCUGCAACGCGCAACUAAAAACUUUUCAAAUAAGUUGGGGGGAGGCAGUUUUGGUUCUGUGUUCAUGGGGUACCUAAACGACUCUACCAUCGCAGAGAAAAUGCUUGAUGGAGCCCGUCAAGGAGAGAAGCAAUUCAGGGCUGAAGUAAAUUCAAUUGGAAUCAUUCAACAUAUUAACUUAGUUAAACUGAUUGGGUUUUGUUGUGAAGGUGAUAAUAGGUUACUUGUGUAUGAAUACAUGCCAAACUGCUCCCUUGAUGUGUGUUUAUUCGAGGCUAAUGAUAUAGUUUUGGAUUGGACUACUAGGUACCAAAUUGCCAUUGGAGUUGCCAGAGGCCUUGCCUAUUUGCAUGAUAGUUGUCGGGAUUGCAUCAUACAUUGUGAUAUCAAGCCAGAGAAUAUACUUCUUGAUGUGUCUUACAUGCCUAAAAUUGCAGAUUUUGGAAUGGCGAAGAUGUUGGGGAGAGAAUUUAGUCGUGCUAUGACUACAAUGAGAGGAACAAUUGGAUACAUAGCUCCUGAAUGGAUUAGUGGAACAGUUGUUACAUCCAAAGUAGAUGUUUAUAGCUACGGGAUGGUUUUGUUUGAAAUCAUAUCAGGAAGGAGGAACCGAAGUCAUGAACAUUUCAUGGAUGGUGAUUAUUCCUUCUACUUUCCCAUGCAAGUUGCACGCAAGCUUCUCAAAGGAGAGAUUGGAUGUCUUGUGGAUGCCAAUUUGGAAGGUGAUGUUAACCUCAUGGAGGUUGAAAGAGCUUGCAAAAUUGCAUGUUGGUGCAUUCAAGAUCACGAAUUUGAUCGGCCAACAAUGGCCGAGGUGGUACAGUCCCUUGAAGGUCUACUUGAGCUCAACAUGCCUCCACUGCCAAGACUACUAAGGCAGCGUUCGUUUGGACGACAUUGAGGGAGAAAGCACCUCGUUUUCCGCACGCACGCUUUACAAACUAUUAAACGGUGUGUUUUUUUAAAAAUUUUCUAUAGGAAAGUUGCUUUAAAAAAUCAUAUUAAUCCAUUUUUGAAAUUUAAAAUAGUUAAUACUCAAUUAAUCAUGAGCUAAUGGCUCACCUCGUUUUGCGUAUCUUCCCAAUCUCCUCAAUCCCCUUCUCCUCAAACACACCCUAAAUGCUAUCACAGGAGGAUCACACUCGAUGACAACACAAUAUUUUGAUUCACUAUAAAUCUGUAUACUGAUUCCCAAUUUCAAGUUAUGUAUCAGAACAUUAUAUAUCAUCUUGCCCUUUAAGAAAAGUAGGCAUAAGAUGUAAGAUCUCUAAGAGAUCAUGUCUUGUAUUUGAAUGAACUAAGUGUCGUAACAUGUAAUUAAGAUCUCUAUACCCGAGAAGGAACCAGCCUUACUAACAAAAUAUACUUGGUUUCUGUUGUCUCUGUGAUAUGUAAGAUCUGUAGGUAUCAGUGUGCCCCCAUACAAUUGUCAUAUGAUGUUUUUGAAAAACACAGGCGCGACUGAAUUGUCAGUUCAGAGUGGAUUGUUGAGCCUAACAUUGGCGAAUGUGUGACAUCCUGACAGUUAUGUUCAAAUUAUGCACACAUCGGCUAUAUAUCACCUAUAUAUACGAGGCAUAAUUGUUCACUCAAACAAAAGGGAGAAGCCUGGCUGCUAGCCUGAAACUUGUUUUUUCAAGGGUAGGCACAUUAAUUUGGCAACUACAACCCAAGAACCUUUUUGUUGAGAAUAUGCAAAAGAUGUGCACAUCAUUGUAUUAAGAUACAAGAGUUUCAUUACAAACCUUGCUAGAUAGUGGUAUAGAUAUGUGUGUGUACAUGGUAUUUAGCUGAUAUUUAUGUAAAUUCGUGGAAAUUGGAAGCCAUAAGAAAUAAGACUGUUUUCACACCCAGCCAAUACAGUACUUGUAGCUUGCAAUAGUGCCAAAGAUUUGUUCAAGAUUCUUUCAGAUCAGUACUAACAAUAUAUGAUAGCUUGUGCAAGUUGAAUCUUUUGUCUUGGCCAAUAGGACCUUUGCACCACUAUCCCCACGGCAGGAUAUUUUUUCCAUUUUCUAGUCAAGUCAAGCCACUGUCAUUCGUCACCUAAAAUUUCUAUACACGCCGUGGAUGUUUCAAAAAGAUCUUACAUCACCGUACAGACCCUUUCGACUAUAUACCAUUUUGCUCUCCAUCAUUAUAUACAAGUUGCUAGUUUUUCUUUUGUCCUCAUUUCCCUACUAUAAAUGAAAGCAGAACUGAGAAAUGAUCACCAAUCCUACAGUUUGUAACUAUAGCUCUCCUCAUUUUUAUAUUACUAUUAUUCUUCCUACGUAUACGCAUCACAGAAAGUUCUACCAUGACAGACACCAUCUCAGUUGGGAAAGCAUUUGACGAAACCGACAAGCUCGUCUCAAAAAUUGGCAGGUGUGCACUUGGCUUCUAAGAGACUGGUAGAAAAGCAUCUAAAAAAAUAGCAAGUGGUACUUAGGAAUAUGGUUCAAUCAGGUUCCCAAGCUAAGUCCUGCAUAGGUUGCAGACAGGGAUAAGCCAAUUGAUGAUCCCACAGCAGUGGAGCUAACAAUCUCCAGGAUGGUAAUCUUGCUGUCUUAAACCAGUCAGCAAAGACCAUCAUUUGGUCUACCCAAGCUAAAAUCACUACCAAUAACACCAUUGCUACGCACUUGAGUAGUGGAAAUAAAUCUCAUCCUAACAAACCCUUCAAACUCUUUAGAAGUUUCUCGGUGGAGCUUUGACUAUCCCACAGAUACAUAUUUCCCUAGGGCAAAGUUUGGAUGGAACAAGGUCACCGGCCUAAACCAUCAUAUUAUUUCUUGGAAAAACUCAAGAGACCCAGCUAUCGGUGUGUAUUGCAAUGAGUUAGACCCUACUGGUGUUGAUCAGACUAGCCUUUCGCCAUUGAAACUCCGAUUCCUCUGUUCUUCAGUUUCGUCAGGUUACUGUAGCAAUCUGAAAUUCUCGCUUCAGAAAUCAGAACGUGCGAGUGAUACACAGAGCUGAGUGGGGAGGAUUGAGAGAUAGGUUAGCUAAUCACAACACGGGGCACGGUAUAAACUUCGGCCAACGACAACCGCGGUUAAUGCCGUCCGAAGUGGAACCAUAAUCCUGAUCUCGUGAUCUCUACUCUCUAGAGCGCUAAUUAAUUUCUACCGGAAGUUGAACCCUAGCCAUCCCAAACAUGCUAUAUCCGUCUCUCGAUUCGCUCGAUCGGCGACAGCGACACUCGCAGGGGCACUGAGAAGAGGGGUGACGAGACCCAUACCUUAGCCGCGGAGAGGCUCCGCUCCCGUUACUCUCCAUCUCCGUCGGGGGCCGCCGGUGCCGGCGAGGGUCGCGGCGGCGAGACGGCGACGGCUGGCCGCCACACAACCCAAGGAGACGACGAAGAUAAUGCGAGAGAGAUAU